GGUGGGCAGAGCUCAGUAAAACUUUAUCUACUUGUCUGCUGAUGGGUGGGGCUGGGUUACCUCCCUGUUGGUUGUUUGGCCUGAGGCGACCCAACACUGGACCCAACCGGCUCUUUGGUGGAACCAAUGCGGACUCUAGGAGGGCUCACGCCAAGGAGUACUUCCCAGAACUUCUGCUGCCAGCCAGUGUCCUUGUACCCACGGUGAGCUGCAGCCACCCCCUACCUCUGCAGGAGACCCUCCAGCACUAGCAGAAUCAUAAUACCAUGUCACACCUGAAAAAAACUAGCUGCUGGAGAAGAGCAGUAGAACGAACACAGACGGGGAGCCUUAGAAAUGGUGGCAGAUGCAAAACGCUAGAGGUGGAGAGAAAGCACAACAGCUUUAACUCCUCCAGAAAUGCUGUGGCUGCCUUUUCUUGGAGCUGUGGAAGGUAUGUCAGCAUUGCUGGUUCAGGGCUAUGAGGGGAGGGUGAGAAAUCAGGUCUUUUUUUCUUCCCCCUCUUUCCUGCUGCAACCUGCAGUUUGCAGCAAGCCUUCCCAAAGCUUAAUUGCCAGAGCAGUGCCAAGUGCACAGAAGCUCUACUUACAGUUCCCCCACUGAGAGAUUUUAGUUUGGAGUUUUGCUUUAAGCUCUCUGCUAAUCCAACCAGUCACGUAUUUUGGAGAGAAACUACCAGUCUUCUUUUGAGAGCACAAUGAUUGCUCAGUUUUUCAUGGUUUUCUUCCUCAAAGUAGAUGCCAACCUCAACGUUACAGAAGAAAGCCUUUCUGAACAUUAUAGCAAAACUAGUUGGGUUUCCAUAGGGUUAUUAAUAGCUUUGAAUCUAUUGUGGGCUAUGAACAGUAGUUCACAGUCAAGAACAGUAGCCACCGAAGAGAACUGUAGCUGAUGGUAUAUGUGGUUCAGGUGGAUGGGCAGGCAGUUACUGCUACAGCUUGCCUAAUUUACAGAUAUUAACACUUACAUAAAAAUUCAUUUAAAAACUAGUGCCUCGUUGGUGAAACCCAGUGAGGUUAUACAUAGUAUCAUUACAACGUAAUUAACUGGGAACAAAAAAGCAUUAGAAAGUGCUGUGGGAGUAGAAGCCCCACGCUUGCCCAUUGUGCCUUUGAGCCAAAUGUAACACCAGCCUGAGAAAAGAAUAGUCAUCAUGAAAAUAUUUUCUUUCCUUCCAAGUCAGGAAACAGACUCACAAUGGAGUCUACUUCUCCAUUCUGAAUUUUGAGAUGUGCAGGAAACAACCAGCCAUUACCAGCUGAGGUUUUCCUGCUGAUAAAUGAACCCUGAGGCCACAGUGACCUGUCUUGUUAAUGAGUUAAUGAAGAAUCUGGUCCUUGCAUUGACCCUCUCCUUAAAAGCUUUCUUUGGAGCUGAAAUAACAUUCCUCUAAUUUAUGAGUUAACUCUUUCUUACUUAGCAAAUGAGAAAGAGAAGGGGAGGAAAGAACCACGUGGCAGAGAAGUGGAGAAUCCACCAGGGGGCUUUGAUUUCUGAAAUUUUAAAAUUUGAACAUUAACUUCACUUGCAGAUAGAAAUAUCAUUUAAAGAAAUAUUUUCCUCUUAUUGAAGAACCUUAAUAGAAGUGGUCUUGUAUUUUUUAUGUUGCAUUUUACCCCAAGGCAAUGACAUUUUAUUGAAUGAUUUCCCACCCAUUACUCUGACAAGAAACUGCUUUGAAUUGAGCAAUGGAAGUAUUUGAUUUUUGUGUAAACAUUUCAGUAUAGGGAAAAGCAAAGGAAUGUUUACUUCUGUAAGUAAAUGUUAUGAACCCAGCAUUUAUUAACGGAGGCAGAUCCUGUCUUCAACUUAUUGGAGAAAGAAUAGUCUCCUUUAAAUUAGGUUAUCUUUAAGAGCCAGACAUUAUUUCUUCCUCCAAAUUAUUUUUUCUUUUAGUGAUUGAUUGUGAUGUUCUAUGAUUUGAAGGUUGUUGUAGAUACCUCUGUUACAGGGUCAUUUCUCAGCUUUGCAAUUCUAGAAAUGUGAUUUUACUAGUUGAUUAGAUUCUGAUGAACUGAUUCAUGACUCAUUAGGCUAGUGUUACAUUUGGUUUAGAAAACCAAAGUGCUUGUUGAUUAACUUACAGUUAUUAUUUCAUUAACCAGAAGAGUUUGUCCUAUUGAGGCAUCCCCAAACCAGUACCUGGAAAAUCAUAGAAAGUGAUAGGAGGCUUUGUAAGGAGGUAAGCAAAGAAAAGAAAUCAAUCGUCUUCUCCGUAUGCCACUUAGAGACUUCUAAGGAAUCUCUCUUCUACUGUAAGGCAUUUAUCUGUCAGGUACUUGGUAUUGGUGGUUCGUAUUUAAACACUCUCUACCUGGUCAGUGCUAAAUGGCCACUGCUAAGACGGCUCAGGAUGGUAAAUUGAACACAUGCUGCCACACAUUUGCCCCAAAUUCCUAAAUAUAUCAGAAAGAUACAUGUUUUUAACAAUGUUGGAAAAAAAGAAUGUUCUGGAUAAUCUGGAAGUUUGAGGAAUUCCUGAAGGACAGAAGGCAGAUGGAAUCAUAUUAAAGGUAGAAACCGGAAUCCAGAAGUCCUGAAUGUCCCACCCCUCCCAUGUAAUUACUGGACACGGCUGUGGUGAAUGGUUGCAGCAUUUACACACUGGGGAGCUAGAACAUCACUUGAACUAGCACAAAUCAAGCCACAAAAAAACCAGAGUCAUGAGAGAAGCUCCAGACUCAAGAAAUUGAAAAGCUAACAUUGGAGGCUCCAAAUACUGUAAAUAGAAUGUAAAGGAGACUUAAAGGGAAGUAUGUUUAUACCCUGAAAGGAAUAAAAAGAAAAUAUUUCGGGCUUCCCUGGUGGCUCAGUGGUUGAGAGUCCGCCUGCCGAUGCA